AAAUCAAUGAAAUUUAAACACAAGGUAUAUGACCACAAAAGGAAGGUUGGGAUUGAUUUUGGGAAUUGAGGUCCCUACAGUUUAGGAACUAGGGACCAAAAAGGGGCUCAAAUAAGCAUUUUUCUUGGUUUUCGCACCAUAACUUUAGUAUGAGUAAAUAGAAAUCUAUGAAAUUUAAACACAAGGUUUUUGACCAUAAAAGGAAG
rnacentral:lncRNA from 1 species